rnacentral:lncRNA from 1 species
UCGACAAAGAUUUUGACCACCUUCGCUUCUGAACUGGGAAAAGUGGUAAACAUAAAAGUUGUAUUUCUACCUCUUAGCUUUCUAAUGGUCUAAAAAUCAUGUCAAUUAGACUUCUUUAGUGGGAGAUAUGAUAGAAAAAUUGAAACAUAUGCAAACUUAGACUGUUUCUCGCUGCAACGAGAAACUUGCUGCCAUGCUUGCUACCUUGCUUGAUUUUGACCUAUUUUUCACCCAUUUAACUUCAUGGAUUGAUCAUGGGUUUUUGCAAAACUCUGAGGUUAUUGAUCAAAGUUUGAAAUGAGGGGUUUUUAGUAAGAUAUUAAAUCAAUUGCAUUAUUUUUGAAAGAAGUGCAUCAUGAUUUUCAAAUUCCUUCUAUCGAUUGCUUGUUCCCUUCUUAUGUUCACUCACUGAGUUUUACACUCACAUUUUUAAACUUCAUGUUUUUAGAUUCGGAGGUAAUUGGGACCUAGAUUGGGUGUCCACAUAUGCUCGUCUUCUUGGUAGGUACUACGGCAUCUCAGUAGUUGUAUCGUCACCCACGGUCACUCCGUUGACAGUCAAGAGUCUUAUGCUUAUGUACAUGUAUAAGUAAUGAAGACCACUAAGAUUCAUGUUAAAAAUCAAAUAUGUAUAUUUGAUUACUGAUGCCACAGUAAGGUGGCAAAUGAGUGAUACUAUGUUAGCAUAAUACAAAUGUGAAUAUUGGAUUGCUAUAAAGCGUUACUGAAAUAUUUAAAAUUGAGUGUUGCAAUAUGUGGCUUUAGAAAUGAUGGUUGGGAAUGAUGAUCGGGUUUGCAUAAAAAGGCUUGCUUAGGCUUAGUGGGCUAUGCCCAUUAGGCCAAUAAACAGGUCAUGGCCUGGUAUUUGGGCUGUGACAAGUCUGAAGGCACUUGACACAAGGAUUCCUACACAUAGUGAUGAAUGUUGACAUUUAAAUAUGUGUGUACAGACGUAUAUGUGGAAUGAUUAUGUGACCAACUAAGGUGAAAAAUUAUUCUUAGUGAUUUGAGAUUUGAACUCAAUAUGUUUGAUGAGUUGUAUAGAUGAUACAAUGAUAAGAG